GUGCAUUGGGGCAGACUACCAUGCAGUCGAGCGGUAACAGAUCCAGCUUGCUGGAUGCUGACGAGCGGCGGACGGGUGAGUAAUGCAUAGGAAUCUGCCCGAUAGUGGGGGAUAACCUGGGGAAACCCAGGCUAAUACCGCAUACGUCCUACGGGAGAAAGGGGGCUUCGGCUCCCGCUAUCGGAUGAGCCUAUGUCGGAUUAGCUAGUUGGUGAGGUAACGGCUCACCAAGGCCACGAUCCGUAGCUGGUCUGAGAGGAUGAUCAGCCACAUCGGGACUGAGACACGGCCCGAACUCCUACGGGAGGCAGCAGUGGGGAAUAUUGGACAAUGGGGGGAACCCUGAUCCAGCCAUGCCGCGUGUGUGAAGAAGGCCCUCGGGUUGUAAAGCACUUUCAGCGAGGAAGAACGCCUAGCGGUUAAUACCCGCUAGGAAAGACAUCACUCGCAGAAGAAGCACCGGCUAACUCCGUGCCAGCAGCCGCGGUAAUACGGAGGGUGCAAGCGUUAAUCGGAAUUACUGGGCGUAAAGCGCGCGUAGGUGGCUUGAUAAGCCGGUUGUGAAAGCCCCGGGCUCAACCUGGGAACGGCAUCCGGAACUGUCAAGCUAGAGUGCAGGAGAGGAAGGUAGAAUUCCCGGUGUAGCGGUGAAAUGCGUAGAGAUCGGGAGGAAUACCAGUGGCGAAGGCGGCCUUCUGGACUGACACUGACACUGAGGUGCGAAAGCGUGGGUAGCAAACAGGAUUAGAUACCC
rnacentral:rRNA from 1 species